CUUGCUCUUAGAGGCAUUGCAGGUAUGGCUGCUGUAUCACAUGUGUCAGUAGGUGGCAGAGAAGAGAGAGGUUAUGUCUACCCUCAGUGUUCUGACCUGUAAAUAGAGGGAAGCUUAACAUCUCCUG